rnacentral:rRNA from 1 species
GACGUAGGUGGCAAGCGAUACUCGGAAUCACUAGGCGUAAAGCGCAGGUAGGCGGCUCAAUAAGUCUCUUGUGAAAGCUCCUGGCUCAACUGGGAGAGGUCAAGGGAAACUGUUGGGCUAGAGUGUGGUAGAGGAAACUGGAAUUCCCGGUGUAGCGGUGAAAUGCGUAGAUAUCGGGAGGAAUACCUAUGGCGAAAGCAGGUUUCUGGGCCAUCACUGACGCUGAGCUGCGAAAGCUAGGGGAGCAAACAGG